rnacentral:lncRNA from 1 species
GAGACAGGCUGCUGGGUCUGAGGGCUGGGAGGGGUGGAGAGGGCCACAGUGAUGGCUGAUCUCUGACCCCCUCCCUGUGUCAACCAGGGGUGCUUUCUCCUACUUGCGGCGCGUAGUGGAGCGUAGCUCCGGCCUGGAGUUUGCGGCCAAGUUCAUCCCCAGCCAGGCCAAGCCAAAGGCAUCAGCGCGUCGGGAGGCCCGGCUGCUGGCCAGGCUCCAGCACGACUGUGUCCUCUACUUCCAUGAGGCCUUCGAGAGGCGCCGGGGACUGGUCAUUGUCACCGAGCUCUGCACAGAGGAGCUGCUGGAGCGAAUGGCCAGGAAACCCACCGUGUAUCCGGGCCUAUAUGCGGCAGGUGCUAGAGGGAAUACACUACCUGCACCAGAGCCACGUGCUGCACCUCGAUGUCAAGCCUGAGAACCUGCUGGUGUGGGAUGGUGCUGCGGGCGAGCAGCAGGUGCGGAUCUGUGACUUUGGGAAUGCCCAGGAGCUGACGCCAGGAGAGCCCCAGUACUGCCAGUAUGGCACACCUGAGUUUGUAGCACCCGAGAUUGUCAAUCAGAGCCCCGUGUCUGGAGUCACUGACAUCUGGCCUGUGGGUGUCGUUGCCUUCCUCUGAGUCUGACAGGAAUCUCCCCGUUUGUUGGGGAAAAUGACCGGACAACAUUGAUGAACAUCCGAAACUACAACGUGGCCUUCGAGGAGACCACAUUCCUGAGCCUGAGCAGGGAGGCCCGGGGCUUCCUCAUCAAAGUGUUGGUGCAGGACCAGCUGAGACCUACCGCAGAGGAGACCCUAGAACAUCCUUGGUUCAAAGUGAGUCUAGUCUGCAAAGUGGUGGCACAAAAGGUGGAGGGAGAGAGAAUGUUACUAACAGCUCUAUUUAUUGAGUACCUACUGUGUGCAGUAACCACGUUAGGCAUUGUUUGUACAUAUGACAUAUUAGCCUCACAAUAGCUUUGCAAAGGAAUGCAUUAUUAGUCCCAUUUUGUUGACAAGGAAACAGGCUCAAAUCCGUGAUGGAGUUGGGGGUAUACAUACUGGACUCCAGGGCAUACGUCUGGACCUCUCCAUCCUGGGUGUCCUCAGUGGAGUUCUCCCCCAUGCUUGAGACCAGACCCUGGUCUUCCUGACUUCUGUCUGUCCAUCUCUGUCCUGCACUGGUCCCACACAAUAGCGUUGGGGGUGACCAGGCAGGCUCAGCCCCUUGGUUAUGAGCUUC